GCAGGUUCAGCAUAAACAUCUAUAUUAAAACCCUCACUUUAUGCUCUGAAUCUGACUAAAAGUCUCUUCAGCUAGACUACAGCUACUGUUGACAUACAGGCUAUGGACGCGAUCCAGGAAAACGAGAUAUUUUGAGACCGGUGGAGGGCAUCUAAAGUUUGUGUUGCUUACUGGUAAAAUUAUUCAUUUUUGUUGAAACCUGCAAUUCUUGGCUGAACCGUGCUGUGAUAAAUAGAGGCUUCAGGAAACUGAUAAACAUAGGAAAAAUAUCCAGCUGUAGCCCUGAGUUAUCCAAGACCUAAGACAAGCCAGGUGUGGGGACAUUAGUGACGAUGAGAAAUAAGGGGCAACAGGGCUGUUGCUCCUUUGGAACCCCACUCAAGGGCUGCAAGUGAGUGUGAGAUCAUCUCCUCGGCUGCUCCUCCCCAAGAGAGUAGAAGUCAUGGGGCUGAGAACCUCAAUCUUUUUUUCAACAGAGCUGCUCUGUCCUUGCCAUCUGAAAUGCCUUCAUUGCUUUCCUUAAUUGUUUUAACCCAGAGCCAGUCUUGGUGGCUACAGAGUCCUGGAGCUGUCCACAAGGAACUGGGAAGAAGGAGGAGGCAGUGACCAGGGUGCAGGAGAUCUUCUGGCACUGCUGGAUCACUGCCUGUCCUGAGGCUGAGAGAAAUUUCCCUGUUAUUCCCCCUUACCAGUUAUUAAGCAAAUAAGCAAGAAAUGACAAUGUGCCUCUCCAAUCAAGACUUUUUCAGCAGUAUUAAAACUAAAGUUACUUCUCAUCAAGCGCCAGAAGAAACGUUGCUCACUGUAUACUGUGAGAAAGAGAAUUUUCCAAUUCCUAUUUCUGCUCAGAUGUUGUACUUGCAUAUGCUACACAAAGAAAUUAAAAUUGAAGAUGGAGAACACAUAGGGUUACUUUUCUACAAUAGGCAGACCACUGGACAAAUCAAUAUCUGAGUUUCUAUUUGCUUUUUCCUACUCCCUAGAUCAAAUAAAGCUAUUAAUUGGUGUUAUUCGUGGUGCUGUUGCCCUUUGCAAAAUAUACUCAUUAAAAAUGCUUCUUGGUUCAAA